ncrna:unclassified sequences RAGATH-18 RNA
ACUGUGGAGUAUACAAGAACUUGUGAGUAGUAUAUUCAACUUUGUUGAAUUAUGAAAGCAUAUACGUUGAAGCAGUAA